rnacentral:rRNA from 1 species
AUUGAACGCUGGCGGCAGGCCUAACACAUGCAAGUCGAGCGGAUGAGUGGAGCUUGCUCCAUGAUUCAGCGGCGGACGGGUGAGUAAUGCCUAGGAAUCUGCCUGGUAGUGGGGGACAACGUUUCGAAAGGAACGCUAAUACCGCAUACGUCCUACGGGAGAAAGCAGGGGACCUUCGGGCCUUGCGCUAUCAGAUGAGCCUAGGCCGGAUUAGCUAGUUGGUGAGGUAAAGGCUCACCAAGGCGACGAUCCGUAACUGGUCUGAGAGGAUGAUAAGUCACACUGGAACUGAGACACGGUCCAGACUCCUACGGGAGGCAGCAGUGGGGAAUAUUGGACAAUGGGCGAAAGCCUGAUCCAGCCAUGCCGCGUGUGUGAAGAAGGUCUUCGGAUUGUAAAGCACUUUAAGUUGGGAAGAAGGGCAGUAAGUUAAUACCUUGCUGUUUUGACGUUACCGACAGAAUAAGCACCGGCUAACUUCGUGCCAGCAGCCGCAGUAA